rnacentral:rRNA from 1 species
GUGGAUUAGAUACCCUGGUAGUCCACGCCGUAAACGAUGGAUACUAGCUGUUGGAGGUAUCGACCCCUCCAGUAGCGAAGCUAACGCGUUAAGUAUCCCGCCUGUGGAGUACGGUCGCAAGACUAAAACAUAAAGGAAUUGACGGGGACCCGCACAAGCGGUGGAUUGUGUUCUUUAAUUCGAUGAUAAACGAAGAACCUUACCAGGGUUUGACAUCCCAAGAAUUAUGUCGAAAGACGUGAGUGCUUUAGUGAACUUGGUGACAGGUGAUGCAUGGUUGUCGCCAGCU